GACUCUUAACCCAACUCUUACCCCUAAACCCCAAUUUUAAAAUAAUUAACAAAACACAUAAGCCCAAGAGUUGCCUCUUGCGUAAGGUCUGGAAGGCCCGCCUCUUAGUGACAGGUGUCACCAUAACGCGAUGUCUCUGUCUCUGUCUCUCUCUCUCAUCUCUCAUCUCUCAUCUCUCUUUCUCUCCCGAAAGGACUGAUUCUGUUUGAUUUCGAAACUUCCACCACCGGAAUCGCCGCCAUCUCAGUCGCUUCACCCUCCUCCGUCCCGACCUUCCUCCCCAACGCCUCCUCCGUCCCGACCUUCCUCCCCAACGCCUCCUCCAUCCCGAUCAAUCUCUGAAGCUCUUGAUAUCCUCUUCUCAGGGGCACGCGUUGAGCUGAGCACGGACUGGUUUGUUCUCUUAUUACAAAGCAAUAAAUAUUUUUUGUCAGAUCAUCUUUGAGUUUUGUAAUGAUCGUUUCUUAUCAAACCUCAAGGUGAAUUGUGGAGCCGACCUUGCUAUUUUGUUUGUUUGGUGUGGUAGUUAAAUCAAUUAACGCAUUGUCUCUACCCACUUGGGCUGUUCAUGUUUCCAGUGUUGUCGAAUGGUUCCUCUCCCUUCUUCCUUGAUUUAAUUGAUUCAACCCUCAUCUUAGAAAAGUUUUGAACUUUUGAUCUAUAGUGAUGCGAGAUAAUAGUUUCUGUUGUGGGUUUCUCGAGUUCUUGAUAUCUGUUCAGAAAGAAAGGGUUAUGAGUCAUGUAAAGGUCUCUCAUGGGAAAUGGUUGACUUUAGAAGAGAGUUUUGUUGAAUCUAAGAAGCAAAUAUGUCUUUGUAAGAAUAUUGAUAUGCAAAAAAAAAAAGAAUAUUGAUAUGCAAACUGUUUGGUAUACUUCUGGUUCAUAUGAGAUUAAAGAUGUGUUGAUUUUGUUUUGAUAGGCAGAUGGGGAGAGGAUUCUAGGAUCAAGGUCUGAGUAUUUGCAGAGCAAUGCAAGACUAGGAACAAACUCAAGGUUGUUUUGUUUCCUUUCCUUCACCGGGGACACUUGGCUAAAAUCUCUGAACCAGUUAGAGGUAGGCUCUCAUACAAGCCUCCCAUCUAUGAUAUCAAUGCGCCAGACUUGUACAUUCCCUUUAUGGCAUUUGGUACGUACGUUGUUCUUGCUGGUCUUUCACUGGGACUUAAUGGAAAGUAAGUUCUUGUGACCCUAUGCAUCUCUCUCAGCGUUUUGAGUCUUAGGGGUUCAGUGAUCGAUGGACACUGAAGAUUUUUAACCUGAAUUCAUGUAGGUCUUCUUAUUGGUACUUUGUAUCAGAAGUUUGAACAUUAUUGACAUUGUAUGUGGUAAAGAUUCAUGUUUUAUAAACAA